GUUUAUAUAGUUUAAAAAACAUUACACUUUCAUUGUAAAAUUAUAUAUUUUUAUAUUAUAAAUA
rnacentral:tRNA from 1 species